CCGGGAAUUCCGAAAAUGACCCGAUUUCACCCGUAUUUCUUAGCCUUGAGAUUGAUUUCAUAAGUAAUAUUCCUUUGAAAUACCGGCAAAUUCGUAAUUCUUCCAUGAACAGGAAGUUCAUCUAGCUAUGUAAACUGUCAAAUUAAGUGACCCAUUAAGUGCAUGGCUUCAUUUGACAGCUUUGGUGUCAAACACACUGUUCAUUAACACCAAUUACCUAAGCUUUAGGUCGUAAAUAAAUUGCACUAUAAACAUAAACAAAUAUAUUUCAACUAGUU
rnacentral:lncRNA from 1 species